GAUCCUGGCUCAGGAUGAACGCUGGCGGCGUGCCUAACACAUGCAAGUCGAGCGAAGCAAUUUAAGUGAAGUUUUCGGAUGGAUCUUAAAUUGACUGAGCGGCGGACGGGUGAGUAACGCGUGGAUAACCUGCCUCACACAGGGGGAUAACAGUUAGAAAUGACUGCUAAUACCGCAUAAGCGCACAGUACCGCAUGGUACAGUGUGAAAAACUCCGGUGGUGUGAGAUGGAUCCG
rnacentral:rRNA from 1 species